UGCGCAGACUCUGGCUCCAAAUGACGUCAAAAUUGCAAGAUGGAAGCGCCCGUUAGGGGCGUAUUUUGGCUUCAAGAACGUUGAGUGGGAACCAUAGACUGUAAAUAUUACUGGACAAACCCUGACCCGUCUGUUACAUAGGCAGCAAAUGAGUCCAAUCGACGGCCGCAUCCAUAUUGGAUUUGCAGUCUCAACCUAACUUCGGAUCAACCUAGCAACAGCAGGAAGGCGGGACUUAAACUCCGCCCAUUCAGUUCGUCGUUAGCAGUCCACUUUACAGCAUAGCUAACGGCUACGGCUGCUAGCAUCCCCAACGGUUUUCCUGCUCGUCCUGAGAAAACUCUAUAAACAACACAGUGUGGAUUAUUGGUGACUUGUCCUUCGAGGUGCCCAGAGAGCUGCAGAGACAGAGGAAGAAACCUGAGCCUCAACAACAUCUGCAUUUGUUGGUUCUUCUGGGGUGGACUUCAGUUGCUUCUCUUCAACAACUCGCUGCGAGGGAGGUCUCCCCCGGAUGGCCUGAGUGAUGUCACCCACAGGCUGAGAGCUGGAGCUGAGGCGGGCUACAUGCCUUAUUGUGAAUAACUCUUAUCCUUCAUCAAAUCAAAACUGAUGAGUCAUCAAAACAUUCACCCCCCGUACAGUGUGUGUCGAUCGAGACAUGAGCUAAUCACACCUAUUUAUUUGUUUUGUACCAAGCUGUAAACAUGUUAAUCUCUGCUGUAAAAACAGGCGUUUUGAAUGUGGUUUUUCAGAUUAAAUAAAUAUUUCUAUAUAAAUGCACUCCUUUAUGUCUACUUA